rnacentral:rRNA from 1 species
GGGAUUAGAUACCCCACUAUGCACAGCCCUAAACUUUGAUAGUCAAGUACACCCACUAUCCGCCCGGGUACUACAAGCCCUAGCUUAAAAUCCAAAGGACUUGGCGGUGCUUUAGAUCCACCUAGAGGAGCCUGUCCUAGAACCGACAACCCCCGUUAAACCUCACCCUCCCUUGUUUAUUUCCCGCCUAUAUACCGCCGUCGUCAGCUUACCCUGUGAAGGAUUAAUAGUAAGCAAAGCCAGCACAGCUCAAAACGCCAGGUCGAGGUGUAGCGCAUGAGAGGGGAAGAGAUGGGCUACAUUCCCUAACCCAGGUAAUACGAAAAAUGCAAUGAAAAAAGCAUUAGAAGGAGGAUUUAGCAGUAAGAAGAAAACAGAGUGUUCUACUGAAACUGGCCCUGAAGCGCGCACACACCGCCCGUCACCCUAA